AUCCUUUUGUGGGUUGAAUUUUCACACUCUCGUGUGAGAUGUGCCUCCCUCAUACCUUUUUACCAUGUCAUCAGCACAAAAGAAA
rnacentral:snoRNA from 10 species